UAACCCGUAGCUCAGCUGGUUAGAGGGUGUCUUGACAUGGCGAGGUCGAUGGUUCAAGUCCAUUCGGGUCACC
rnacentral:tRNA from 1 species